rnacentral:rRNA from 1 species
AGCAAUCCGUGGUGGCGAGUAGGCGAACGGGUGACGUAAUAUAUCGGAACGUGCCAGUCGUGGGGAUACGUAGCGAAAGCUACGCUAAUACCGCAUACGAUCUAUGGAUGAAAGCGGGGGAUCGCAAGACCUCGCGCGAUUGGAGCGGCCGAUAUCAGAUUAGGUAGUUGGUGAGGUAAAGGCUCACCAAGCCGACGAUCUGUAGCUGGUCUGAGAGGACGACCAGCCACACUGGGACUGAGACACGGCCCCAGACUCCUACGGGAGGCAGCAGUGGGGAAUUUUGGACAAUGGGCGCAAGCCUGAUCCAGCAAUGCCGCGUGCAGGAUGAAGGCCUUCGGGUUGUAAACUGCUUUUGUACGGAACGAAACGGUGAGCUCUAAUACAGUUUGCUAAUGACGGUACCGUAAGAAUAAGCACCGGCUAACUACGUG